UGAGCAAUCUGCCCUUCUCUUUGGAAUAAGCGUUGGAAACGACGUCUAAUGCCGAAUACGACCUCCUUUCGCAUGAUCGGAGGUGGAAAGCUCCGGCGGAGAAGGAUGAGCUCGCGGCCUAUCAGCUAGUUGGUGUGGGUAAUGGCCCACCAAGGCGACGAUCGGUAGCUGGUCUGAGAGGACGAUCAGCCACACGUGGGACUGAGACACGGCCAGACUCCGUAACGGG
rnacentral:rRNA from 1 species